UACGUAGGGUGCAAGCGUUGUCCGGAAUUAUUGGGCGUAAAGAGCUCGUAGGCGGUCUGUCGCGUCGGCUGUGAAAUCCCGAGGCUCAACCUCGGGUCUGCAGUCGAUACGGGCAAACUAGAGUAUUGCAGGGGAGACUGGAAAUUCCUGGUGUAGCGGUGAAAUGCGCAGAUAUCAGGAGGAACACCGGUGGCGAAGGCGGGUCUCUGGGCAAUAACUGACGCUCAUGCACGAAAGCGUGGGGAGCAAACAGG
rnacentral:rRNA from 1 species